UAAGACGAACCGUGCGAACGUUGUUCGGAAUCACUGGGCUUAAAGGGCGCGUAGGCGGUCUGCCAAGUCGGGGUUGAAAUCUUUCGGCUCAACCGGAAAAGUGGCUUCGAUACUGGCAGGCUGGAGGGAGGUAGGGGCGGAUGGAACUUCCGGUGGAGCGGUGAAAUGUGUUGAUAUCGGAAGGAACGCCGGUGGCGAAAGCGAUCCGCUGGACCUCUUCUGACGCUGAGGCGCGAAAGCCAGGGGAGCAAACGGGAUUAGAUACCCCGGUAGUCCUGGCCCUAAACGAUGGGUACUGAGUAGUGGACUUGCAUGGGUUCACUGCUGAAGCAAAAGUGGUAAGUACCCCGCCUGGGGAGUAUGGUCGCAAGGCUG
rnacentral:rRNA from 1 species